ACGGGUGAGUAACACGUGGGCAACCUGCCUGUAAGAUCGGAAUAACCCCGGGAAACCGGGGCUAAUGCCGGGUAAUACUUUCUUUCGCAUGAAGGAAAGUUGAAAGAUGGCUUCUUGCUAUCACUUACAGAUGGGCCCGCGGCGCAUUAGCUAGUUGGUGAGGUAACGGCUCACCAAGGCGACGAUGCGUAGCCGACCUGAGAGGGUGAUCGGCCACACUGGGACUGAGACACGGCCCAGACUCCUACGGGAGGCAGCAGUAGGGAAUCUUCCGCAAUGGACGAAAGUCUGACGGAGCAACGCCGCGUGAACGAUGAAGGUCUUCGGAUCGUAAAGUUCUGUUGUUAGGGAAGAACAAGUACCGUGCGAAUAGAGCGGUACCUUGACGGUACCUAACGAGGAAGCCCCGGCUAACUACGUGCCAGCAGCCGCGGUAAUACGUAGGGGGCAAGCGUUGUCCGGAAUUAUUGGGCGUAAAGCGCGCGCAGGCGGUUCCUUAAGUCUGAUGUGAAAGCCCACGGCUCAACCGUGGAGGGUCAUUGGAAACUGGGGAACUUGAGGACAGAAGAGGAGAGUGGAAUUCCACGUGUAGCGGUGAAAUGCGUAGAUAUGUGGAGGAACACCAGUGGCGAAGGCGACUCUCUGGUCUGUUUCUGACGCUGAGGUGCGAAAGCGUG
rnacentral:rRNA from 1 species